AUUGAACGCUGGCGGCAGGCCUAACACAUGCAAGUCGAGCGGAGCGGCGGACGGGUGAGUAAUGCCUAGGAAUCUGCCUGGUAGUGGGGGAUAACGGCCGGAAACGGGCGCUAAUAACGCAUAUUAGCAGAUGAGCCUACGUCGGAUUAGCUAGUUGGUGGGGUAAAGGCCUACCAAGGCGACGAUCCGUAACUGGUCUGAGAGGAUGAUCAGUCACACUGGGACUGAGACACGGUCCAGACUCCUACGGAAGGCAGCAGUGGGGAAUAUUGGACAUUGGGCGAAAGCCGGAUGCAUCCAUGCCGCGUGUGUGAAGAAGUUCUUCGGAUUGUAAAGUACGUUAAGUUGGGAGGCGUUACCGACGGAAUAAGCACCGGCUAACUUCGUGCCAGCAGCCGCGGUAAUUC
rnacentral:rRNA from 1 species